AGCCCCACCCAAUUUUAUUAAAAGGAAGAAAAAUUACCACAGAGCACAUCUCCCCGAAGGAGAUUAGAUGGAUAAGGCCCGAUUCUCAAGGUUACAAAGCCAAUUACCAUGCUAUGGGAGAUCACCGGGUUGAAGAACAGAUUCUCAAUUUCCCCUAUGAUGUCAUUGAACAUGCACGUUUCUGGACUUCAGGUACUCUGCAGGGUUCAAAUGUUUGUAGAAGUUGGUGAAUUCACCAUUUAAUUGAUCUAAUUCAAUUAAAGAACUUUUUUCUUUUAUUUGAUGUGGAACUAAAUGAAAGCUGAUUAUUUUUUUUGGACUACAAAACCAUAUGCAUAUGUCGGAGCAUAUCUACUUCAAUUGGAACGCUGCAAGGUUCUCUAUGGUUUAGCUAAUAUCAGCUGUCUAGACUUUCAGCCUUGCUUUCAUCGGUUGGUAGGCAAUUCCAGCCAUCACGAGGAACAGAAAGAUUCUUGUCAAGAUUGUGAUUACUGGUUAUGUCGCCACAGGUUGGUGGACCACCAUCUUAUCAUCUUAUUACAAGCUGACUGGUAUUCAUCAGCAUGUGAUGGAGAUGCCAGUAAUUGUUCAAGUUUGGCCAUGUGCUUCCAUUCUCUUAACUGCUACACCUUGCGUCAAUAUUGAGUAUCGACAUUAUUACGGUCCUAAGUGGGUCAACUGGCUGAUUUGGCUAAGAACCAGAAGAAGCUAAGCUUCCAAAGGAUGGCAAGAAAGGUUUCCUACGAUCACAUGGACAUGGCACAUCUUGGCCGUUUUACUAACAGACCUGGUGACACAUCUUGGUCAUUUUACCUAAGACAUUGGCAGUAUAGUAACAGGUGGAGUGAUUGAUGAUUGUUGAGUAGCAGUUAAUCUGUGAAAAGCUACCAAGCAUAUAAAAAAGUUAAAUUUUUCAAUGAAAUCUUUAUACUAGCAA